ACUAAAUAGAUACCCAGGUAGUCCACGCCCUAAACGAUGUCUACUAGUUGUUGGUGGAGUAAAAUCCAUGAGUAAACGCAGCUAAACGCGUGAAGUAGACCGCCUGGGGAGUACGGUCGCAAGAUUAAAACUCAAAGGAAUUGACGGGGGCCCGGCACAAGCGGUGGAUUAUGUGGAUUAAAUUCGAUGCAACGCGAAAAACCUUACCUGGCCUUGACAUGCCACUAACGAAGCAGAGAUGCAUUAGGUGCCCGUAACGGGAAAGUGGACACAGGUGCUGCAUGGCUGUCGUCAGCUCGUGUCGUGAGAUGUUGGGUUAAGUCCCGCAACGAGCGCAACCCUUGCCAUUAAUUGCCAUCAUUUAGUUGGGCACUUUAAUGGGACUGCCGGUGACAAACCGGAGGAAGGUGGGGAUGACGUCAAGUCCUCAUGGCCCUUAUGGCCAGGGCUUCACACGUAAUACAAUGGUCGGGUACAGAGAGUUGCCAACCCGCGAGGGGGUAGCUAAUCUCAGAAAAGCCGAUCGUAGUCCGGAUUGUUCUCUGC
rnacentral:rRNA from 1 species